GGGUCUUUGCUAAUUUUAGUCAUAAAUUGUAACUCAUAACAAUACAAAAACAGGUCCGCAAUAAGUGGUGCACAGUUAGUCUCCAUUUGAAUUCCAAUAACUUGACGAUAUACAGAAACUCCAAAGCGAACAAAGAUGUUAUCAAGUAAAAAUUCAAACGCAUAUAUAGUAUCAAAGCAUGUCCAAUUGACAUAGUUCUUUU
rnacentral:lncRNA from 1 species